GAUGAAGAACGCAGCGAAAUGCGAUAAGUAAUGUGAAUUGCAGAAUUCAGUGAAUCAUCGAAUCUUUGAACGCAUCUUGCGCUCCUUGGUAUUCCGAGGAGCAUGCCUGUUUGAGUGUCAUUUAACUUCUCAACCACAUUGGAUAUUUUUUUUCCGAUGCCGGCUUGGAUGUGGGGGUUGUUUGCAGGCUUUUUGUAACAAAAAAGGUCGGCUCCCCUGAAAUGUAUUAGUGGUAUCUGAGGCUAUUACUAUUAGGUGUGAUAAUUAUCUAUGCCUUUUGGGUAUGCCGCAUGAACAGAUUAUGCUGCUUCUAACGAAAACUAUUUUGAUGAAUUUGACCUCAAAUCAGGUAGGACUACCCGCUGAACUUAAGCAUAUCAAUAAGCGUAGGA
rnacentral:misc_RNA from 1 species